GUGCUCGCUUCGGCAGCACAUAUACUAAAAUUGGAACGAUACAGAGAAGAUUAGCAUGGCCCCUGCACAAGGAUGACACACAAAUUCGUGAAGUGUUCCAUAUUUUA
rnacentral:snRNA from 1 species